rnacentral:rRNA from 1 species
GACGAACGCUGGCGGCGUGCUUAACACAUGCAAGUCGAACGGAAAGGCCCUGCUUUUGUGGGGUGCUCGAGUGGCGAACGGGUGAGUAACACGUGAGUAACCUGCCCUUGACUUUGGGAUAACUUCAGGAAACUGGGGCUAAUACCGGAUAGGAGCUCCUGCUGCAUGGUGGGGGUUGGAAAGUUUCGGCGGUUGGGGAUGGACUCGCGGCUUAUCAGCUUGUUGGUGGGGUAGUGGCUUACCAAGGCUUUGACGGGUAGCCGGCCUGAGAGGGUGACCGGCCACAUUGGGACUGAGAUACGGCCCAGACUCCUACGGGAGGCAGCAGUGGGGAAUAUUGCACAAUGGGCGGAAGCCUGAUGCAGCAACGCCGCGUGCGGGAUGACGGCCUUCGGGUUGUAAACCGCUUUCGCCUGUGACGAAGCGUGAGUGACGGUAAUGGGUAAAGAAGCACCGGCUAACUACGUGCCAGCAGCCGCGGUGAUACGUAGGGUGCGAGCGUUGUCCGGAUUUAUUGGGCGUAAAGGGCUCGUAGGUGGUUGAUCGCGUCGGAAGUGUAAUCUUGGGGCUUAACCCUGAGCGUGCUUUCGAUACGGGUUGACUUGAGGAAGGUAGGGGAGAAUGGAAUUCCUGGUGGAGCGGUGGAAUGCGCAGAUAUCAGGAGGAACACCAGUGGCGAAGGCGGUUCUCUGGGCCUUUCCUGACGCUGAGGAGCGAAAGCGUGGGGAGCGAACAGGCUUAGAUACCCUGGCAGUCCACGCUGUAAACGGUGGGUACUAGGUGUGGGGUCCAUUCCACGGGUUCCGUGCCGUAGCUAACGCUUUAAGUACCCCGCCUGGGGAGUACGGCCGCAAGGCUAAUACUCAAAGGAAUUGACGGGGCCCCGCACAAGCGGCGGAGCAUGCGGAUUAAUUCGAUGCAACGCGUAGAACCUUACCUGGGUUUGACAUGGAUCGGGAGUGCUCAGAGAUGGGUGUGCCUCUUUUGGGGUCGGUUCACAGGUGGUGCAUGGCUGUCGUCAGCUCGUGUCGUGAGAUGUUGGGUUAAGUCCCGCAACGAGCGCAACCCUUGUUCACUGUUGCCAGCACGUUAUGGUGGGGACUCAGUGGAGACCGCCGGGGUCAACUCGGAGGAAGGUGGGGAUGACGUCAAGUCAUCAUGCCCCUUAUGUCCAGGGCUUCACGCAUGCUACAAUGGCUGGUACAGAGAGUGGCGAGCCUGUGAGGGUGAGCGAAUCUCGGAAAGCCGGUCUCAGUUCGGAUUGGGGUCUGCAACUCGACCUCAUGAAGUCGGAGUCGCUAGUAAUCGCAGAUCAGCAACGCUGCGGUGAAUACGUUCCCGGGGCU